GAUGAACGCUGGCGGCGUGCCUAAUACAUGCAAGUCGAGCGAACGGACGAGAAGCUUGCUUCUCUGAUGUUAGCGGCGGACGGGUGAGUAACACGUGGAUAACCUACCUAUAAGACUGGGAUAACUUCGGGAAACCGGAGCUAAUACCGGAUAAUAUUUUGAACCGCAUGGUUCAAAAGUGAAAGACGGUCUUGCUGUCACUUAUAGAUGGAUCCGCGCUGCAUUAGCUAGUUGGUAAGGUAACGGCUUACCAAGGCAACGAUGCAUAGCCGACCUGAGAGGGUGAUCGGCCACACUGGAACUGAGACACGGUCCAGACUCCUACGGGAGGCAGCAGUAGGGAAUCUUCCGCAAUGGGCGAAAGCCUGACGGAGCAACGCCGCGUGAGUGAUGAAGGUCUUCGGAUCGUAAAACUCUGUUAUUAGGGAAGAACAUAUGUGUAAGUAACUGUGCACAUCUUGACGGUACCUAAUCAGAAAGCCACGGCUAACUACGUGCCAGCAGCCGCGGUAAUACGUAGGUGGCAAGCGUUAUCCGGAAUUAUUGGGCGUAAAGCGCGCGUAGGCGGUUUUUUAAGUCUGAUGUGAAAGCCCACGGCUCAACCGUGGAGGGUCAUUGGAAACUGGAAAACUUGAGUGCAGAAGAGGAAAGUGGAAUUCCAUGUGUAGCGGUGAAAUGCGCAGAGAUAUGGAGGAACACCAGUGGCGAAGGCGACUUUCUGGUCUGUAACUGACGCUGAUGUGCGAAAGCGUGGGGAUCAAACAGGAUUAGAUACCCUGGUAGUCCACGCCGUAAACGAUGAGUGCUAAGUGUUAGGGGGUUUCCGCCCCUUAGUGCUGCAGCUAACGCAUUAAGCACUCCGCCUGGGGAGUACGACGCAAGGUUGAAACUCAAAGGAAUUGACGGGGACCCGCACAAGCGGUGGAGCAUGUGGUUUAAUUCGAAGCAACGCGAAGAACCUUACCAAAUCUUGACAUCCUUUGACAACUCUAGAGAUAGAGCUUUCCCCUUCGGGGGACAAAGUGACAGGUGGUGCAUGGUUGUCGUCAGCUCGUGUCGUGAGAUGUUGGGUUAAGUCCCGCAACGAGCGCAACCCUUAAGCUUAGUUGCCAUCAUUAAGUUGGGCACUCUAAGUUGACUGCCGGUGACAAACCGGAGGAAGGUGGGGAUGACGUCAAAUCAUCAUGCCCCUUAUGAUUUGGGCUACACACGUGCUACAAUGGACAAUACAAAGGGCAGCGAAACCGCGAGGUCAAGCAAAUCCCAUAAAGUUGUUCUCAGUUCGGAUUGUAGUCUGCAACUCGACUACAUGAAGCUGGAAUCGCUAGUAAUCGUAGAUCAGCAUGCUACGGUGAAUACGUUCCCGGGUCU
rnacentral:rRNA from 1 species